UGUCUGCCCGGACGAGGAGGGGAAUUUGGAAAUUGGCUGUCCCACCGGGCAGCUCUUCUCGAUAGAAGGCUAAAGGCAUUGAUCGCCCCUUCGCCUUGUCCAGCGUGGCGUUCAUAUUCGAGGACGUAUUUAUGAGAUCCUCGAAUUUUCUUUUUAUUGAUCCGACGGUGUGCUUGUCCAUGUGACCGCCGGAUAUGACGAGUGAGUCUGUGAAGUAGUCCCCCGUGGUAAGCGUAGGACUAGUAUGGGUGUCCCCAAAACCGCUGGGGAUAGCAAAGUCUUCUGGCCGGGAGACGCUCAUGGCAAUCUGCUUGGUGCCACUCUGCCCGACUGGUGGGGGAACUACCUCUUCGACGGCGCGAGUCUCCGCGGCCUCUGGUCGAGGGUCAUUGUUUCUCUUCACGAACU
rnacentral:lncRNA from 1 species